UACGUAGGCAGCGAGCGUUGUUCGGAGUUACUGGGCGUAAAGAGUGCGUAGGCGGUGUUCCAAGUCUGUUGUGAAAUCUCCCGGCUCAACUGGGAGGGUGCGGCGGAAACUGGGACGCUGGAGUACGGGAGAGGUAAGCGGGAAUUCCUGGUGUAGCGGUGAAAUGCGUAGAUAUCAGGAGGAACACCUGCGGUGUAGACGGCUACUGGACCGUAACUGACGCUGAGGCACGAAAGCGUGGGUAGCAAACAGG
rnacentral:rRNA from 1 species